UACGGGUGGUGCUAGUGUUAUUCCUCAUGACUAGGCGUAAAGGGUGCGUAGGUGGCGCCGUAAGUCAGGUGUGAAAUCCCGGGGCUCAACCCCGGAACUGCACUUGAUACUGCGGUGCUCGAGUACUGGAGAGGAGAUUGGAAUUUACGGUGUAGCAGUGAAAUGCGUAGAUAUCGUAAGGAAGACCAGUGGCGAAGGCGAAUCUCUGGACAGUUACUGACACUGAGGCACGAAGGCCAGGGGAGCAAACGGG
rnacentral:rRNA from 1 species